rnacentral:rRNA from 1 species
UACGUAGGGUGCAAGCGUUGUCCGGAAUUAUUGGGCGUAAAGGGCUCGUAGGCGGUCCAUCGCGUCGGGAGUGAAAAGCUGGGGCUCAACCCCAGUCCUGCUUUCGAUACGGGUGGACUAGAGGUAUGCAGGGGAGAACGGAAUUCCUGGUGUAGCGGUGAAAUGCGCAGAUAUCAGGAGGAACACCGGUGGCGAAGGCGGUUAGCUGGGCAGUUGCUGACACUGAGGCGCGACAGCGUGGGGAGCAAACAGG